rnacentral:lncRNA from 1 species
AGGCAGCCGUUAGACAGCACAACCGAACCCAACACCGGGGCCCAACGGCAGGGGCUUGGGCAGGAGCAAGGUCCGAGGGCUGCCAGGUCCACGCUGCUUUUAUGAGCUGUAACACUCACCGCGAAGAUCUGCAGCUUCACUCCUGAGCCCAGCGAGACCACGAGCCCACCGGGAGGAACAAACAACUCCAGACGCGCUGCCUUAAGAGCUGUAACACUUGCCGUGAAGGUCUGCAGCUUCACUCCUGAGCCAGCGAGACCACGAACCCACCAGAAGGAAGAAACUCCGAACACAUCUCAACAUCAGAACGGACAGACUCCAGACGCACCACCUUAAGAGCUGUAACACUCACCGCGAGGUUCCGCGGCUUCAUUCUUGAAGUCAGUAAGACCAAGAACCCACCAAUUCCGGACACAGUAGCAUUUGGGAAUAAUAAGAAUUGUAGCUGGGCAUGGUGGUACACGCCUGUAGACCCCUAGCAGCUGCCAUCAUCCUCACCAUCCGCAUAUUAUUGAUAUAUUAACUCUUUGAUGGCAACCAUAGCUUAUCCCCCUUAUCUCCCUAUGCCCUACAGCAGGGCAGUGGAAUGGUUAAGAGGCUUUGAAGUCUAAGAGUGCUGGCUUAAAACCCUAAUUUGUCAUUUUGGAUGUGUGGCUUUGGACACUUGGGGCAGGUCACCUAUGUUCUUCAAGCCCUGUAUCCUUAUCUGUCAGAUGAUGAUUUUUUUUUUUUUAGACGAAGUCUCACUCUCUUGCCCGGGCUGGAGUGCAGUGGCAUGAUCUCGGCUUACUGCAAGCUCCACCUCCCGGGUUGACGCCAUUCUCCUGCCUCAGCUUCCUGAGUAGCUGGGACUACAGGCUCCUGCCACCACCCGUGGCUAAUUUUUUUGUAUUUUUAGUAGAGACAGGGUUUCACCAUGUUAGCCAGGAUGGUCUCGAUCUCCUGACCUCGUGAUCUGCCCGCCCCAGCCUCCCAAAGUAUCAGAUGAUUUUAACAACUAUGCUUCCAUGACUUGCUGGGCUAGAUGAUAUGACUGUAAAAUGCCUAACCCAUGGUUUAGCAUCAAGUAAGCAAAUUGUAAAUGGUAGCACUGCUCUGCCUAUGACUAUUUAGUCUUGUGCUUUAAACUCAAAUAUUUGUUGGCCUACUGAAGUCACCACACAGAGAAAGAUGCUUUUCAUUCUCAGUAAAGAACUUUGGGAGAUAACUGGGGCAGGCAGCAAGAGAACAGAUGUCAUAUGUCUAGCAUCAGCAAACUCAUCAGAACUGAUGGGCAGCUCACUUUGCUUAGAACCUGCACCAGCAUACACACGGGGCUGCUUCCCAGUCACACUGCUCCUGGGAAGGUAGGGGGGCUGCUGUUCUGCAAUUAGCGCGGUUCUUUACCUCCUAUUACCGAACUGCCAGAGUUCAUUUGUGUUCAGUUAGGUAGAUGACCAAUUCUUGUUCAUUCCUAUUUUCUUUUGCUCACUAAUGUGUUUAACGUUCACUAACCUACCAAAUGUGAUUUAUUAGCGACUUUUUCUUUGAAGAUGGAGUGGAGGAAUCCUAGCGCUUUCUGCAACAUGCUACUGCUGUUAUGGAACAGUGCAGAUAUGGAAGUGCAUCAGCCGGGGAUGGGGAGAGGCUAGGGCAGUACAUGUGAAUGGAGAGGUAGCCCCACCAGUGUGUUUUCUGAAAUACAGUCCCGCAGAGGGCAGUCUUGGGAAAUUACUGUUCUCACACACUCUUCUUGACCCUACCCCUCCAGCACCUCCCUUGCUAUCCAAGGGUUGGGAUUUUUAAAAAGAAAAACAAAUUUUAAAAAAAGCAGUGUGAAUCUUUUGCCAUCUUGUAAGGGUGAAAAGCCCCCUACCAAGUCGGGAUGAACAUUCAUGCGUGUGCUUGAGGGCUUGGGAAAAAGACAGGGCUUGGCCCCACAGUGCAGGUAGGCCCAGUGAUCCUAUAAUAGGGGCCAGGAGAUGGGAGGUCCCCUGUGGGCAGGAGUUCAAGUAUGUGGUAUUAUAUGACUGGUGCUUGAUGAACCCAGGGAGAGGGCACCAAAAACAAUGGUAUUUAAUUGUAAAAUCUCCACCCCCUGAGGAUAUGUUUUCAGGUCUGGGUGACUAAUUAGACUGGGAAACAAGGGCAGGAACGAUGGCCCUGUGCUUGCUCUGCCCGCUGCCUCUGUGGAUGUGUGGGCUGCUGGCUUCAGUCCUGCUUUUCUUUCUGAUGGUAUUGUUUAUGCUAUGUGUUUUUGCAGGAGGCCUGAGGUGGGCUGGGUUCUCCUCCUAUGGCAGGGCUUCACUCUCCUCCUCCUUCUCUGUUGGGGCUUCACUGUCCCUGGGAUAAGAAUAACAAUGCCAAGGUUUUCAUUCUUGAAAGGAGCAAUUAAGCGUCUCACCCCCUCCUCAUUUUAGAUGGGAACUGUGAGGGUCCCGUCAUUUACCCAGGGUCCCUGUUGAGGAUCUUGUCCUCAUUAGAUGACUUCUUGUGCAGCUUCCAUGCGUGAUUCUUUACUCUUGUGGCACUGAGAGGUUUGUACAUGUCUUUAAGCCAGAGCGGCUUUCUGAAUGAAAAAAGUCCAUCCUAGAAGAUAGAAAGGGAAAUAUUAAUUUUGCAUGUCCUCUGCUUUCCCUGGUCACAGCAAUGAAUCCUCCAAUGUACCUGACUCUCCCUUUGCGAAGAGCAUCUCCGUGGCAGAAAUCUGAAAAUGCCCCUGGGGAGACACAUGCACAAGACAGUGAGUGAUGCAGCCGUUUCCCACGUAUCUCACAAUGUACUUCUCUGGUCUUAUUAGAACUAAAUGAGUAUCUCAGUCCAUAAUCACAGGGAGAAGAACCACCACAGACCACAUACCUGGGGUCUUGAAAAUAAUUCCAUGCAUGUGGGACUUUCAGAAGCUCUCCAUGUCUGUCCAGAAGGGCCCCACAAUAUACUGGGGGGACUUUGUAUGUGGCUCAGCAUGGAGCAGGGGCAGGAUGUUCAUUCCCACUCAUCCCCUUGGCCAAGUGCCCUUGUGCAGUGAACAAACUGCACAACCAUGCUGGGCAGAAGCAUUUUAUAUCAGUCCCCUUCGGACUUAGUCUCACAGGCAUCAUUUGAUGGGGGGUGGGAGAUGAAGUGGUUCUUCCUUUUCUAGAUACUUUAUUCUAUAAGUUGGAUCACCUCAAGCAAAUGCCUGAGUGCAGCUAGCCAAGUUCUCUAUCUCACAGUCUUCAUACAGCUGGCUGUCGCUGAUGAGUGAGUGAGCUGCGAAAUCAGCUUAAACCACAACAUGUUAUUUUUGAAUUUGAAUAAAAUAGGAAAAGGCAGAGUGCAUUGUGUGACCAUGGGGUAAGACACUCUCCCUUUCUCCUUCUCAGUUUUCCUGUCAUAAAAGGACAAACUACUAUCUAAGUUCUCCGUAGUUAAAAUUCUUUUUUGUUGUUUUUUUUUAUUUGAGACAGUUUGGCUCGUUCCCCAGGCUGGAGUGCAAUGGUGCUAUCUUGGCUCCCUGCAACCUGCGCCUCCUGGUUUCAAGCAGUUCUCCUGCCUCAGCCUCCCAAAUAGCUGGGAUUACAUGCCUGUGCCACCACACCCAGCUAAUUUAGUAUUUUUAGUAGAGAUGGGGUUUCACCAUGUUGGUCAGGUUGGUCACGAGCUCCUAACCUCAAGUGAUCCCAAAGUGCUGUGAUUACAGGCGUGAGCCAUCCUGCCUGGCCUUUCUGGUUAAAAUUCUGUGAGGUUUGUGUAAAAGGAAUAGAGUGGGGGCGCAAAAACCAGUAAGAUGAGAAAAUAGUGUUUCCUCAGUUCUAGUAUCCAGGGGAAAAAAAGAAAAGAGAAAAUACUGUUUCCUGCCACUUAAGAGGAAGGACUCACAUAUCCUACCUUCCAUCAGCCUUGAAGGAGACAAGUGCCCUCUCUCUCACACCCGGUGGCCUUCCCUUCCCCUUUCCCAGAGCCUCCAAGAAGGCCCCUGGCCUGGCCUGAUGCCCACCAUCAGCAGCAAUAGGCACCAAAACCUUUCUCCUUCCUAUCCCUCCCCACCUCCCAAAAGGGCUGGGGACAGCAGGUGUAUCCUUGUUAGUUCCAUCAUGAGACAGCACAUUCCUACAAUGUCGUACAGAUGUAAAUUCUCAAAUUAAUCUACAAAUUUAACGUAAUCCUAUUCAAAUCCCAAGAUAGUUUUUGGUGGUGGCUGUUUUUAAGACAGGGCCUCGCUGUGUUGCCCAGGCUAGAGUGCAGUGGUACGACCACAGCUCACUGCAUCCUCGACCUCCCAGGCUCAAGCGAUCCUCCCACUUCAGCCUCUGAAGUCUCUCAUAUGGUGUCCAAGAAAUGGUGACAAAUCUCACAAAGGGACUAGGCUCAGCACGGCUGGAAUAUUCAGGGAAGGUGUCAAGAAGAAAGAUGAACUUGUGUUGGCUUUUGAGAGAUGCAUAGGACUCCCACAGGCAGAGUGAAAUAAGGGCAUUUUAGAUGGACAAACACACAGACAGAAGCAGAAAUGUGGGUGGUGUGACUGGGGUAUAGUGAGGGGCUGCUGUGGCUGGAAUGGAGGGCUGCCACAAUAAUGGAAAUGGUAAAUGAGGCAAAUAAGGUUGGACUGGUGGCAUAGCGUCAAGGUUGCCAGCUUUAUUAAAUCACUCUUCCAAUAUGCUAGCACUGGCCUGUUGGGAAAAGUAAUAUAUCAUGUAAUCGAACAAAAGACAAACAGAGGCAAGCUCCAGGAAUGGGCACUGUAAACAGGACUUGCCCCAGAGUAGCCAGAUGUAGGCUUUAGAUAAGUUGAUGCAGGCUGAGCAUCUCUAAUCUGAGGGGGAAUGUCUCACAUGGUGUCCAAGAAAUGGUGACACAUCUCACAGAGGGUCUAGGCUCAGGAGGGCUAGAGUAUGAGACGUUCCCCCUCGCCUGUGAACUUAAAAAUGUGGCCAACAAUUUUUGUAAAAGAUGGCUACUCUGUAGUGCUUUAACUGGACCUAUUUAGACAAUGCCUUACACACUGGAGGACGAUACUGUGUAAAUCUAAUAAGUCUACAAGACAAUACUUCUGUCUUUUGGCUCUCUCCUUCCUCUCCAGGGUGAUGACAAAUCCGUGAGGGUGGAGAUUAUACCUCUCUCAUCAUUUCAGCACCAAGGAAAUAAAUUAGUGGCAGAGUAAGGGUGACUUGAUGAGUACAUCCAAUUGUUGACAUAGUUUUGGGUGGAGAAAUUUUGCUAUUAUAUCGACUUCUUAAAAUAGUCUAGUGGGAUUAACUUGGUUUCAAUUCACAGAGAUCUGGAAGCGAGGAUCUUUUAAAAAUCCUGAAAUAUACACUGCAAUAAAAGAACAAAGCAUACACCUCAGCCUUAAAUGACUGAAGAAGUAUGUCAAGUAGCAGCAGGUGGGAAAGUGGCUUUGGUUUUCAGUUUGUGAGCUCUGAAUCCACACAGAAACAGGACUGCAUUCUGACAACCUGAAUUAAUUAUUGUCCUUACCACAAUGAGGCAGAAAAGUAUAAUAAAAAUCAUUAGUAUUUCAGUCACAAUUAAUGCCAAGAUGAGUUUGUCAGUAUAGCCAUAUCCUGGAACUUAUUUUGUGAGCUAAAAAAAACAAAAAAACAAAACAAAAAAAAACACACCAGAAUGAGAGCUAACUAUUCAAAACCCCAGUAUUCCAGGUGAGUAGCUUACAGGUUCUUUUUUAUUUUUUUGAAAGAGGGUCUCACUCUGUUACCCAGGCUGGGGUACAGUGGUGCAAUCACCGUUCACUAGACUCGACCUCCCUGGGCUCAGGUGACCCUCCCACCUCAGCCUCCCAAGUAGCUGGGACUACAGGCACGUGUCAUCAACCCAGCUAAUUUUUUUAUUUUUUGUGGAGACAGGCUUUCACUAUGUUGGCCAAGCUGGUCUCAAACUCCUGACUUCAAGUAAUCCACCCACCUUGGCCUCCCAAAGUGCUGAGAUUACAGGCAUGAGCUACCACCCCUGGCCUACAGUUCAUCUUGUGCCCUAAUCUAUAUUUCACUCUCUACAUGAGCAAAGUGGGAGAUCACUGUCAUGACCAAAGUUACAUGGCCAAGAUAAGCUAUGGCCUGGGAGUCCCAGAUUCUUCUGUGUGGGCACUUUCCUGGGAUAUGCUAAAUGAUGGGAAAUCUGGGUCUCAUGUUUCUGUGUGGUCCUCACCUCAAGCGACUUCUCUUUCUGUUCACUCUGGGCUUCCGUGCUCUCAUUAAUGUAGUUCUGAGUCUUCCAUUGGUCCGUAUCCCAUUCUAUCUCAGAUGCCUUUACUUCCUGCUGCCCACUGAGAAGCUUCAUCAGGUGGCCUGUCCUGGAGAUGAGCUUGGCACAGGUCACUUGCACAUGGGCCCCAGAGCAGUCCAUCUUCAAGGUCCGGAUAACAUGAGAAAUGAGCCUUCUCACAUUGUUGGGGAUAAGGGACUGUAGCUGCUGGGUUAGCUGAAUUUCAAACUGAGCAAUGGGUAAUUGAAGCUUUUGGGCUCGGGGGACAGGUCAGUGCCCACGUUGUUGUAUUCCCAUUUUGUCUCAGUUUGUUUAACAGUUGGCCCUAAGUUGAAUGCAGUCCCAGCGGAAUCUGCCUCAGGAGGAUGAUUGUAGUUUGUGUUUUCAGAGAUGGUGACUUCUGGCAUGUUAGUGUUUUCCAUAAAAACAUUUUCUUCCAAGGCAUUUCUUGCAGUUGUGUCUUUUAUAUUAGUGGUUUCUAUAAAAUGUUCUGAAGGAGCAGAUACUUCCAGAAAAGGGUUUUCUUGAGGACUCAGGUCUCCUAAGGAUGAAAAAGCCCCUUGUGAAGGGGAAUUUAUGAGGCUCUUCGCUGCAGAGAACGGAGGCCUGUUUGCGAGCAUCAGUCUACUCAGAUAACUUUUCUUUCUGAACUUUGGACUCUUUUUGACCUUGGGUGUUCUGUGGGUCAUGCGGGAGCGAGUUUUGUGAAAGCGGUAUUUUUUUCUGGAAUGUGAAAUUGGUUUAGAAGCCUUCAUAUUUGUAACUCUAGCCUUUGCACUUUCUAAAAUGGAAAUAGUGUGUGUGUUGUCUUUCCAUCUGUCUCUCACCUGUGGUAGGGCUUUUGCAGGGCUGGAGGUAGAAGGCGCGCCCUUGGAGAAGGGUGUCAGCACAGAGACUGCUGCCUUAUGCUCUUGGGUGAACGAAGGCUUGGUGUAGAUGGCGUUUCCCGCUAACUUCUCAGGCCCCUGCUGUGUGUGAGGCUGUUCCAGCUCCCUUGGGGCUGGACUCCCGAGCCUUUUUUCUUCGGCAGCGUUCUCCACAGAUGCCUGGGCACCCUGUUCCCUCCUGAUGCUCUGCCUUCCCACCUCUUUGAAGUGCCUUUUCUGGAUGCUCCUUGGGCCCAUGAGGACUCUAUUCACUUUUUGCUGGUUUUGGCCUACAGUUUGAAUCUUUGCCAGGCUGUUUCCUGUGGUUGGCAGUUUAAUGAACGGUAGUAACAUUGAUUCCACAUCUAGGUUUACUGCUGAGAAAUAUGGCAAAUGUAACUUAGUGCACUGAUAACCUCACUCUCGUCAUUGGUGUCUAGCUGCUCACUCCCAAAGCCUGACAAGUUGAUGCCACUGCUGUCUGAGGGCUCCUCCGGCUCAACAGUCAGCUCAGUGCUUGUGUAAUUCUUCCGGGCUUGUAACGUCUUCAUGAAUGCUCCUUCUGGAUUCCCUACAGAUUCUUCUUCAGCUGUCAAAAAAGAGACUGCUUUGCUCAUGAAAGAUGAUGGGAUGGGAUGCAUCAGUCCAUAGCUGUACACCCCAGUCACACAGAGUAGGAGUCAGCAAACAUUUGAGUGCCAUUCAGAGAGGAGACACACACACCCAAUCCUAAACCUAUGAAAUGGCAACAACAAAAGGAGAAAAUAUAUCUUUUGAAAACACGGCCAUCUACUUGGAACAUUCCAUAGUGUGACAUAGAGUAACUCUGCUUAGGAUUAUUUCAUUGAUCCCCAGGGUCCAAUUGCCCAGUGCUCAGUCAAAGCCCAAGGUGGAAGACAAGUGCUUCCCUGAUGAGCUGAUGAGCUGGCCUCUCUGCAGACUGCUCCAUACCCUGUGCUGUCCUGCCUCAGAUGCAGAGAGAGCACAAGGCUCCCGCUCUCCUCGUCCUCGGUGCGCCUGUGUUCUUGCUACCAUCACAGCUGAAUGCAAUGAAAGGCGGUCCUCUGAGAGGAGCAGGGUGGAGAUGCUAAAGUGGAGGCCCCCUCCCAUUGCUGAUAGAUCCUCAUCUGGCAUGCGCUCCACCCUCCCCAUUCUCUGCUCCCACAUAUCGUAGCCCCAUCACAGAAGAUGCGACAUGGAAAAAAGCACUGUGUCCACCCUAGUUCUUAAAUUUGGGCAGGGAUUUGGGGUGUAUGUUAAGAGUUUUUCAAAUUUGCCAGAUUGCAUGCCUAUGUUGUUAAAUACACAGUGAAUCUCUGGUAUGAUAACAGUUUCUGGAUAAACAUUACUUGAGGUCCUAAAAUGCAGAAGGGAAAAAGCAACUUUUGUCAGAUGCCUACUUUGCUUUCAUUUCAUCUCUAAUAUUUUGGAUGGGGAAUCAGCCAAAGCUUCUGACUGCAUGAAGGUCAAGUGUGCCAGUGUGCAGCUGGGUUUCUUUUCCAGAAUUAAAAGUAUUUUGGGUGGUGGUGAGGGUCAGAGGAAGAAGUAAAGAUUGUGAGAAAGUGGAAGAAGCAUGGGCUUGGGGAGAACCCAGAAUUGGGGCCAGAAGACCUGGCACUAGGCUACAGCACUUAGCACCUCUGAUCUUGUUUUUCUUCAUCUGUAAAAGGAGGUUAACAAAGCUUUUCUGCCCACUUCUUGGGGAGAAGGGAAUAAUAUAAUUGGUAAAAAAAAAAAAAAAAAGUUUUGAAAAAUAAGCAACACUGACUUUAUGUAACCAAGCAUUAUUAAUUCUCCACCCCAUAUCACUGGUAGAUACCUGUAUUCAAGCUAUCUGGACAUGAAAGUAGUCACAUUUUAGAAGUCAUGAAGUUGAUGCUAAUAAACCUAAUCUACAGAAACACUCUUGAAAGCCCUUGAGCAUUUGUUCUGUGAACAGAAAGGUUUGAGAUUCAGAGCAAGUUCAGAGUUGGAUGGUCUAAGAAUGGAAAAGCCCUCCAUUCUAUUAGAAGAGCCAGGUAGCAAUUUCUGGUUAUGGAACCAGAAGCUCUCAGGCUUCAAAUAAAACAGCAUCACUUGUACUCUUAUAAAACUGUAAAAACAGAAAAACCGAAACCGUAUCUACAUCUGUCCUAUAAGGCAGAGAGUACUUGAGACCUCAUGAAUUUAAAACCACCUUACAAACUACUUUGCACUAUAUGAAGAAAUUAUCACUGUGGGCAAAGCAUCAAGCAGAGAGCACAGUACACAGUGUGUGGAUGUUAAUGUUAUUCUCUAGCCUUCCCAUUCCUUUGUCUUGGUCCUUUGUGCAUAUGGAACAGUUCUAUUAUUAAAUUUUGUAAUAGUAACUGAGAACCUGACUCUCAGCAAGGGAGUAGUUCAGAAAUUGAGGGAGUUUAACUCUGAAUGAGUAAAUAAAAAUAAAGCAAUUAUGUCAUUAGCUUAAAAUUUUAUCAUCAUUAAAAAUAAAAAGUUUAAAAACAAAUACUUAAUGUAACAAUUUAUCACCGCGCAAUUUGGACUCACGACAAUGUAUGGUGUUUGUCAGACAUGCACUGUUGCAAUGCAGCUUGACUGUCUUGCAGACAGCCUCAAUGCUGUUUUUAAGUUGGCAGAGGCAGCAGGCCAUAUGGCUAGGUAAGAUCCUAUAGAUGAAAACAGAGAGCAAUAAAUUAGCGGUAAAGCGGUUACUUGAGUAGGUAAAGGAGGCAGCCAACGCUGCCACAGGUGUGGGAAAAAGGUGUCAUUGAAGCCUAUGGACUGGACAGUUGGGUAGGAACCAGAAGGCCAAUAGGAAGGAGGGCAAAGGUGCCCAACUGAAGGGUAAGCAUGGCAGUGAGUAUGGUAUGCCUAGAAUAAAGAUGGUUGGGAUUAGAAUUGGGUGACAGUGAUUAGUAGUUUAAUUCAGAAGUAUCUCUUCCCAACUCAAAAGUCUCACUUUGGGCUGAAAGUACAGAGGAAGAAGGUAGACUUUUAAGAAGUCUGAAUAAGCCCCCAACUUCUGGAGUCCCUUUCUCAAUUCCUGUUGGGAGUGGGAAAUAUUAUAAAUUACUCUGGGCAUUAAAAAUAGCUUAGUUUAACCUCGAUUGUGGAGUUAAAAAAUAACAAAGAUUGCAUUGGUCAAAUCUGGACAAUUUGAGCAUUCAAAAGAAUAACAACAAUAAGUUACAACAUAUUUAAUAUAAAGAAGAAUCCACGAAGAGUGAUAUAGAAAAAGAAAGAGGGGGAGUUCUUCUUCAAUGAAAUAAUGCCAGCUAGUAAAUGUAGAAGGAAUGACAGAAUUUUUAAAAUUGUCACUUUGCAACCAUCAGUGUAAUACAAAUUCAUUCAGACAAGGAUUAUCACUGAUGCACAUUUGGGUGAAAAGACAUUUGAGAACAGGAUCUUCACUGAACUCAAAGUAACAACCCACAGAUUAUUUAUUAAUUACCAAGCGGAAAAUUAUUAUUUUUUAUUUUUAUUUUGUCACCCAGGCUGAAAUACAGUGGCAAAAUUAUACCUCAUUGCAGCCUCAACCCCCCUGGGCUCAAGGGAUCCUCCAAAUUCAGUCCCCCGAGUAGCUGGGAGUAUAGGCUUGCACCACCAUGCCCAGCUAAUUUUUUUUUUUUUUGUACUUUUGUAUUUUCAGUAGUGACAGGGUUUCCCCAUGUUGCUCAGGCUGGUGUAGAACUCCUGGGCUCAAGCAAUCCUCCCACCUCAGCCUUCCAAAGUGCUGGGAUUACAAGUGGGAGCCACUGUACCCAGCAAAAUAAUUACAAUGGAGAGAUCUGGAAGUUCACCUUGGUCAAGUGAUCAAACUUAGUAUUACAGGCCAUCUGCAGUUACGAGGCAGGAAGGAUACAUCACCUAUGCAGUAUUUUUCCCAAAAAUGCUUAACUUGAAUUUCGUCAUGAGGAAACAGACAAAUCCGGGUUGUGGGACAAUUUACAAGACAACUAUCUUUGACUCUUAAAAAAUGCCAAUGUCAUGAAAGAUCAAAGAAAGUAGAAGCAUGUUUUAGAUUAAAGGAAAUGAAGACAUGACAUGCAGUGCCUGAUCUUUGAUUAGAUUCUGUACUAUUCUUUCAUCUUUCUGGCUUGUUUGAAUUUUUUUCAAUACGUAAAUUUGGGCAAAAGAGGUAACCGAGACAAUUGAUUAAUUUAUUGUUGUGGCUUAUUGGGGGCACUUUCAGAGAGAUAAAAACAAUCCCUGUAACUGAAGUAAAAGGUUAAUCUUAGGCAGUAUAGCAUGGUCAUUAAGAAUACAGAUUCCAUAGCCAGACUAUGCUUCAAUCUCAGCUCUGCUAAUAAUGUGAAUUUGGGCAAAUUGUUAAAUCUCUGUUCCUUGGCCUUGUCAUUAUAAUAGUACCUACCUCUAAUGAAUUUUGAGGAUCAAAUGAAUCAAUACCUGAAAAAUGCCUGGUGCACAGUGAGUGCUCAAUAAGAGUUAACUAUAAUUAUUAUGUUGCAGAGGUUGUGGGGGGCCUUUUCUGAGUCCUCCAAAAGGAUGGCUUUAUUGGGGCCACAUUGAGACUGUGAAAACAGAAGAGGGUUUCAUGGAUACAAGAAGUCUAUGAAUUGGGAGUACAAUGUAUAGAGUUUUAGAUUAAAACUGCAUCCAAUGAGUUGGCCUGACACAUCUUUCAAACCUAUAGAGGAACAAUCACAAGUGACUAGUAUUAUUCCUUUGGGUCCAGUGGAAGCCUCUGAUCUUCAUAUGGAAUGGACCCGGAACCGUAACCCAGCAUUUUGUUAUAUAGCAGCCUUACCUCUGCCACAAAGGUGUUUCUUUUGUUUAUUUUGAGGCCAGGUCUCGCUCUGUUAUACAGGCUGAGUGCAGUGGUGCAAUCUUGGCUCACUGCAGCCUCUGCCUCCUGUGCUCAAGUGAUCCUCCCACCUCAGCCUCAUGAGUAGCUAGA